rnacentral:rRNA from 1 species
AGUGAACGCUGGCGGUAGGCCUAACACAUGCAAGUCGAACGGCAGCACAGUAAGAGCUUGCUCUUACGGGUGGCGAGUGGCGGACGGGUGAGGAAUAUAUCGGAAUCUACUUUUUCGUGGGGGAUAACGUAGGGAAAGUUACGAUAAUACCGCAUACGACCUACGGGUGAAAGCAGGGGAUCUUCGGACCUUGCGCGGAUGAAUGAGCCGAUGUCGGAUUAGCUAGUUGGCGGGGUACAGGCCCACCAAGGCGACGAUCCGUAGCUGGUCUGAGAGGAUGAUCAGCCACACUGGAACUGAGACACGGUCCAGACUCCUACGGGAGGCAGCAGUGGGGAAUAUUGGACAAUGGGCGCAAGCCUGAUCCAGCCAUACCGCGUGGGUGAAGAAGGCCUUCGGGUUGUAAAGCCCUUUUGUUGGGAAAGAAAAGCAGCAGGUUAAUACCCCGCUGUUCUGACGGUACCCAAAGAAUAAGCACCGGCUAACUUCGUG